CACUCCGACAGCCUAGUGGUUAGAGCAUCCGCUUCGGAAGCGGGAGCUCGUGGGUUCAAUACCCGGUCGAGUCA